UGGGGAAUCUUGCACAAUGGGGGCAACCCUGAUGCAGCGACGCCGCGUGAGCGAUGAAGCCCUUCGGGGCGUAAAGCUCUUUCGACCGGAACGAUAAUGACGGUACCGGGAGAAGAAGCUGCGGCUAACUACGUGCCAGCAGCCGCGGUAAUACGUAGGCAGCAAGCGUUGUUCGGAGUUACUGGGCGUAAAGAGUGCGUAGGCGGUUUUCUAAGUUCGGUGUGAAAUCUCCCGGCUUAACUGGGAGGGUGCGCCGAAGUCUGGGAAGCUGGAGUGUGGGAAAGGCAGGCGGAAUUCCUGGUGUAGCGGUGAAAUGCGUAGAUAUCAGGAGGAACACCUGCGGUGUAGACGGCUUGCUAGACCAUAACUGACGCUGAGGCACGAAAGCGUGGGUAGCAAACA
rnacentral:rRNA from 1 species